AGCGAACGCUGGCGGCAGGCCUAACACAUGCAAGUCGAACGAACUCUUCGGAGUUAGUGGCGGACGGGUGAGUAACACGUGGGAACGUGCCUUUAGGUUCGGAAUAACUCAGGGAAACUUGUGCUAAUACCGAAUGUGCCCUUCGGGGGAAAGAUUUAUCGCCUUUAGAGCGGCCCGCGUCUGAUUAGCUAGUUGGUGGGGUAAUGGCCCACCAAGGCUACGAUCAGUAGCUGGUCUGAGAGGAUGACCAGUCACAUUGGGACUGAGACACGGCCCAAACUCCUACGGGAGGCAGCAGUGGGGAAUCUUGCGCAAUGGGCGAAAGCCUGACGCAGCCAUGCCGCGUGGAUGAUGAAGGUCUUAGGAUUGUAAAAUCCUUUCACCGGUGAAGAUAAUGACUGUAGCCGGAGAAGAAGCCCCGGCUAACUUCGUGCCAGCAGCCGCAGUAACAC
rnacentral:rRNA from 1 species